UGGGGAAUUUUGGACAAUGGGCGCAAGCCUGAUCCAGCCAUGCCGCGUGCAGGAUGAAGGCCUUCGGGUCGUAAACUGCUUUUGUACGGAACGAAAAGACUCCUUCUAAUAAAGGGGGUCCAUGACGGUACCGUAAGAAUAAGCACCGGCUAACCACGUGCCAGCAGCCGCGGUCAUACGUAGGGUGCAAGCGUUAAUCGGAAUUACUGGGCGUAAAGCGUGCGCAGGCGGUUAUGCAAGACAGAGGGGAAAUCCCCGGGCUCAACCUGGGACCUGCAUUUGUGACUGUAUAGCUAGGGUACGGUAGAGGGGGAUGGAAUUCCGCGUGUGGCAGUGAAAUGCGUAGAUAUGCGGAGGAGCACCGAUGGCGAAGGCAAUCCCAUGAACCUGUACUGACGCUCAUGCACGAAGGCGUGGAAGGCAAA
rnacentral:rRNA from 1 species